AGAGUUUGAUCAUGGCUCAGGAUGAACGCUGGCGACGUGCUUAAUACAUGCAAGUCGAACGAAGCUCUUUUUCUUCGGAUGAAGAGUCUUAGUGGCGAACGGGUGCGUAACGCGUUGGUAACCUGCCCCAAAGAGGGGGAUAACAGUUCGAAAGGACUGCUAAUACCCCAUGUGAUCAUCAGGGUUAGAUACUUGAUGAUGAAAGGAGUAAUCCGCCUUGGGAGGGGCCUGCGUCCCAUCAGCUUGUUGGUAGGGUAAUGGCCUACCAAGGCUAUGACGGGUAGGGGACCUGAGAGGGUGGCCCCCCACACUGGCACUGAAAUACGGGCCAGACACCUACGGGUGGCAGCAGUAGGGAAUAUUGGACAAUGGGCGAAAGCCUGAUCCAGCAACGCCGCGUGCACGAUGACGGCCUUCGGGUUGUAAAGUGCUUUUAGGAGAGAUGAGAAAGGACAGUAUCUCCUGAAUAAGCCUCGGCGAACUACGUGCCAGCAGCCGCGGUAAAACGUAGGAGGCGAGCGUUAUCCGGAUUUAUUGGGCGUAAAGCGCGUGCAGGCGGUUUGGUAAGUUGGAUGUGAAAGCUCCUGGCUUAACUGGGAGAGGUCGUUCAAAACUACCAGACUAGAGAAUGGGAGAGGGAAGUGGAAUUCCGGGUGUAGUGGUGAAAUGCGUAGAUAUCCGGAGGAACACCAGUGGCGAAAGCGGCUUCCUGGACCAUUUCUGACGCUAAGACGCGAAAGCUAGGGGAGCGAACGGGAUUAGAGACCCCGGUAGUCCUAGCUGUAAACGAUGUAGACUUGGCGUUGGCGGAGUUAAAUCUGCCAGUGCCGGAGCUAACGCGUUAAGUCUACCGCCUGGGGACUACGACCGCAAGGUUAAAACUCAAAUGAAUUGACGG
rnacentral:rRNA from 1 species